CCUCGACGAGGACAUUACAGAAGUUGUGCCGAGGUCAUGGGUUAAAGGUGAUGAAUGUUUUUGGCCAACAUUCAUUUCUGAGGAAAAAACCCAAAAGGCCAUAAAGAGGCAUGAAAUGCCAGGCCCUGGCUGGAAAAUCUUCAAAAUAAGAACACUCUUUGAAAAAGUAGAUGACUUCAGUAAGGCAAGGCAAAAGCUGAAGGACUACAACAGAAAUGGAACGGCAGUCCUCCAGUCAGAGGAUGAGAGCUCAAUGGCAAAAAGGAGAAGAAAAGCGACACAUUACCCAGGAUUUGAAAACGGCAGUACUGACUCUGAAACUGAGCAGACUCCAAAAAGAAGACCAGAGUCUCGG